GACGAACGCUGGCGGCGUGCUUAACACAUGCAAGUCGAGCGGAGCGGCGAACGGGUGAGUAACGCGUGAGUAACUGCCCCCCUCUCUGGGAUAACAGUUGGAAACGGCUGCUAAUACCGGCUAGUGGGGGAUGACUCGCGUCCUAUCAGCUUGGUGGUGGGGUAGUGGCCUACAAAGGCGACGAAGGGUAGCCGGCCUUGGAGGGCGACCGGCCACAUGGGGCUGAGAUACGGCCCAAAAUCCGUCGGGAGGCAGCAGUGGGGAAUAGUGCACAAUGGGGGAAACCCUGAUGCAGCAACGCCGGGUGCGGGAUGACUGCCUUCGAGUUGUAAACCGCUUUCAGCCAUGACGCGGUAGUGGCAGAAGAAGCACCGGCUAACUACGUGCCAGCAGCCGCGGUAAUAC
rnacentral:rRNA from 1 species